CAAAUCCUGGGGCAUGCAGCAGCUAUAUAUCACACUGACAGUGACUGCCUGCAGCAUUGGAUGUCCUUCCUGUUGAAAGCUUUCCGUAACAGCAGAGCUCACAUCCCAGCAGUCUCCUAUCCUAAAGACGUAAACCAUAUUCUUAGAAUCCCAAGAUGACGCCCAGAUUUGUAAUACUGGUGACAGCUGUGGCCCUUGCCUGCCUUGUACAACUUGGGAAAGCAGUGAAAGAGGAGGAAAGCAACAAUGAGAUUGAAGAAAGGGAAAUACAACAGUGUCUCUCCGACAGUGAAGAAAUGAGAAAUGAGAAGGGAGUGGCUGCAGAAGCUGUGAAAUUUGUUGGCAUGAAAUUGACUGCAGCGCUUAAAAAUGUACUUGGUUAAAUUUAAUAUGCCAUUUUUAAUAAUGAUAUACAUACUGUAUAUUUCAAUUUAAUUGUUCUAUAACAUCAUUGGACAUGUUUUUCUUUCUGAUAAAUUGGUCAAUAAAACAUUAACAUAACUAA